rnacentral:rRNA from 1 species
UACGUAGGUGGCAAGCGUUGUCCGGAUUUACUGGGUGUAAAGGGCGUGUAGCCGGGCUGACAAGUCAGAUGUGAAAUCCGGGGGCUCAACCCCCGAACUGCAUUUGAAACUGUUAGUCUUGAGUACCGGAGAGGUCAUCGGAAUUCCUUGUGUAGCGGUGAAAUGCGUAGAUAUAAGGAAGAACACCAGUGGCGAAGGCGGAUGACUGGACGGCAACUGACGGUGAGGCGCGAAAGCGUGGGGAGCAAACAGG